rnacentral:rRNA from 1 species
AGCGGAUAACAACGGAGUGGGGCUAUCGAAUUGAUAUGUAUUCGAAUCUUAGGAGCUGGUAAUCACUGAUAUGCUCAUAUUGGUGACGUUAUUGUUGCUGUAAUCAAAGAAGCAGUGCCCAAAAUGCCUCUAGAAAGAUCAGAAGUAAGACGAGCUGUAAUUGUACGUACAUGUAAAGAACUCAAACGUGACAACGGGAUGAUAAUACGAUAUGAUGACGGUUGUCAUUGA